AAUCGGCCAUCGUUAUACCCUGUACGGAAAAACACGAACGACGAAACGGGAAAUCAGGCCGAGCGUCGCCAGGUCGUGCGUCUCAAAAAUCGGGUCGUGUAUGCCCGCCCUUACAGUGAAGAGGAAGAUGACGUCGACCUCUGCAGACUGUCCUUUCUAUUGAGAGUUUUCAACAAAGAUUUAUUUGAAAGCUCCGCGGCGGUUAUUAGCGACGUGCUAUUCCAAAUGAAGAAGGCCGCCAUUAUGAUUGCUGCGAUACUCUGCGCUGAAAAUUCGAAAAGGAAGAGGCGUCGGCGCAUCUGGAGUCGGAGAUGGCUCAAUAAACGUGGACAGAAUUUGUCGGUCGACCAAAAUUUCUGAUGUCAGAAAUUCUUCCGACCGUCCAUCGAUCAUCGGCCAUCGUUACACCCUGUACACUGCACGGAAAAACAGCCCCGACGAAACGGGAAAUCGGGCCGAGCGUCGCCAGGUCGUGCGUCUCAGAAAUCGGGUCAAAAACGGACUAAAAUCAUGAAGAUGACGUCUACCCCUGCUGAUUGUCCUUUCUAUUAAGAAUGUUCAAUAAAGAUUUAUUUAAAAACUCUAACGCUGGUUAUUAGCGACAUGCUAUUCAAAAAGUUGAAAAUUAGCCAGACAACGUAUAUAUUGCGGUAUUUAUUAACACAAUAAUACAG